GGGGCAGAAAGCGUUUUGCAAACAGAGACAGACCACUCGCUGCACUACAAUCUCCAAGCUUCCCUGCAGGGGAAGCCACGGCAGCUAAAGUGGUGUGUGUGCGUUUUACGCUCGCUGCUGCUGUGUGGACGUGCGGCGCUCAAAUUUUCUCCGGCUGCUGCUUUGCCUUCGUUCCUCGGCGGCAGCAGCUGCUUGCAGCAGGAACAGCCAUUGAUACCGCCGCCUUCUCUUUCCACCUAAGCGCGCUUUAGACUCUNGGAUCUUGCUUGGAGAGUUUUCAGCUCCGUUGUUUGAAAAGCCAGGACGGAGGCAGAAAAAGGUCCUUGAAACAAGCAAAGAGAACCAGGUACCUGGAUGGUGGUAAUAAGGAAGUAGUGGUGGACUUUGCCAAGGAUCCCUUCUGGACUUGAACCAAGAAUUAGCAUCCUGGAGUUGUCACCAUGCAGAACAGCUUUGCUCCUGUGGCCUUACUGGGGUUACCUGCUGAUGAACCAGAAUUGAUUUGCAAGAUUGAGCCAGGGGAAGAACCGUGGAUCCCAAGUGAUCAUGCCACAAUGGAUCGACAAAUCCUUCCUGGAAGCAAACUAGCUUCUGAAACGUCGGAGCCUGCAGUCGCUCCCUACAGGCAGUAUCGUGGCACCACGUGGACCUACCCUGAGGUCAUUGACCUCCUGGUCAUCUGGAGAGAGCGNGAGAUCCAGCAGGAACUUCAGAGGAGCCAUCGAAACAUAGAGACAUUUCAGGUGGUGGCCAACAAGAUGGCCAAGAGAGGCCACAAGCGUUCAGCGCUGGAGUGCAGAUCAAAAAUCAAGACCUUAAAGCGAGACUAUAGAAUCGCCAAGGCCAACAACUCUCCUGGGAAAGGACAUUUAGCUUGGCUCUUCUAUGAUCGCCUGGACCAUCUGUUGGCUAAUGAUGCUGACAUCCCGCCUCCAGAUAUGCUUCCCAUUUUCAGUCACUGUGGGACAUCCCUAGCUGACUCAAUGUCUCAAUGUUCCACCGAGGAGGAUGCAAUGGCAGAAGGAGCUAGAGAAUAUAGCCCAGCCAAUCAGGAGCUGCUGACUCUGAGGUCACAGUCGCCCACGGAAGUCAUCGGUCUGGAAGAUCAUGUUCCCGUGUUACAGAUAAAGGAAGAACCCCCUGAUGAAAUAGCAGUGAUAUCUCCAGUGGUUGUAACAGAAGUUGGAAGUCCAGCUCCUCCGUUGCAGUCUGUUGCAUGCAAUAAACCAGGUGCUUCUGUCUCAACAAUAGAUGUGGCUGUAACACCCGCCGCUAGUCCUUUGCCGGGUUCUGCUGCGGAGCGUCUUGCCAACAUCCGAAAGCGGAAAAGGAAAAACAGACAAGACGUGGCCCUGGAAAUCACACAGGCGGCUGACAAAAGAGUGCAAACAGCUACCGACAGGAUUCUGGCCGCGCUCAGCGAAUACGCGAGGGCAGAUCUGGAGGACCGUGAGCGAGACCGUCUGGACACUGAGCAAAUCAUUGCACUCAUGAACAGGCAGACAGAACUCCUGGAGUUGCUGGUGCGAAAGCAGACGGAGACGCAGGCGCCAGCAUCCCCUGUGUUGGCGCGGCACGCCCGGCUUCCGCGGCUCGGGCAGCCAAAUCAUUCUGCAGACCCUUCCGCCUUGCGCUUGGGGGGGCCCAGGCGGCCCGUCGCUAGGGCGAGGUACAGGAGAUGACUCCAAAGCUGUGUCCGGCUUCACCCACCAGGGGGGAGGAAGGGGCUUUGAUUCUAAAUUGUUAGCAUGCAGGACUCUGACGGCAUGUCUGUAACAGGUUGCGGCUUUAUUCUUCAAGAAUUUGAAAAUCUUUUAUAAUAAAUGACUUUUGUUUGCCA
ensembl:lncRNA